rnacentral:rRNA from 1 species
UACGUAGGGUGCAAGCGUUGUCCGGAAUUAUUGGGCGUAAAGAGCUCGUAGGCGGUUUGUCGCGUCUGCUGUGAAAAUCCAGGGCUUAACCCUGGACCUGCAGUGGGUACGGGCAGACUGGAGUGCGGUAGGGGAGAUCGGAAUUCCUGGUGUAGCGGUGAAAUGCGCAGAUAUCAGGAGGAACACCCAUAGCGAAGGCAGCUUGCUGGGACGUUACUGACGCUAAGGCGCGAAAGCGUGGGGAGCGAACAGG